AACCAGGAGAGACUGUAAAAGCAGGAUACAGCGCCGAAGGGGAAUGCGAAAACUCUCAGGCAAAGGGACUGGU
rnacentral:ncRNA from 1 species